rnacentral:rRNA from 1 species
UACGAAGGGGGCUAGCGUUGUUCGGAAUUACUGGGCGUAAAGCGUGCGCAGGCGGCUUUGCAAGACAGAUGUGAAAUCCCCGGGCUUAACCUGGGAACUGCAUUUGUGACUGCAAGGCUAGAGUACGGUAGAGGGGGAUGGAAUUCCGCGUGUAGCAGUGAAAUGCGUAGAUAUGCGGAGGAACACCGAUGGCGAAGGCAAUCCCCUGGACCUGUACUGACGCUCAUGCACGAAAGCGUGGGGAGCAAACAGG